AUUGAACGCUGGCGGCAGGCCUAACACAUGCAAGUCGAGCGAGCGGCGGACGGGUGAGUAAUGUAUGGGGACUGCCCGAUAGAGGGGGAUAACUACUGGAAACGGUGGCUAAUACCGCAUACUAUCGGAUAACCCAUAUGGGAUUAGCUAGUAGGUGGGGGAAAGGCGCACCUAGGCGACGAUCUCUAGCUGGUCUGAGAGGAUGAUCAACAAGACUGGGACUGAGACACGGCCCAGACUCCUACGGAGGCAGCAGUGGGGAAUAAUGCACGUGGGGCGCAAGCCGGAUGCAGCCAUGCCGCGUGUAUGAAGAAGGCCUUAGGGUUGUAAAGGACUAUCAGCGGGGAGGCGUUACCCGCAGAAGAAGGACCGGAUAACUCCGAGCCAGCAGCCGCAGUAAUAG
rnacentral:rRNA from 1 species